GGGGAUUUAGCUCAGUGGUAGAGAGCACUUGCCUGGCAAGCACAAGGCCCUGGGUUCGGUCCCCAGCUCCG
rnacentral:tRNA from 1 species